UUUACAUUGAAAUAAAGCAUCUGACUGGCUGCGCAGUCGAGACGGGGGAGGGGCAAGGGCGGAGGCGGAGAGAGAGCUGAGCGGUCGCCUGGGUCCAGGUGGGAGACGCCGCGUCCCGCCCCGGGGCGUCCGGGAGUCGGAGCGCGGCGGCAGCAGCUACAGCCAGGCGGCCCAAAGCGCAGAAGCUAAACGGAUUCCAGGGCUUAGGGAAUCGGGGUAAGGGGAUGGUGACCAGACUGUAGUGCUGUCUUUGCUGAGACGGGCAACACCGAGCUCCGCUGACAACGCCUAGAUUCUGAGAUUUCUGUGGCACCCAAGUUAAACAUGCCUGGUCUUCAGGACGCUGGGGUUCCGGAAGCAGGAUGACGCGCUGGGAGGGUAUGAGACGGUCCAGAGCACGCCCGGGAGAGAGGGCGGCCCAGACGGCGCCCAGGGACCCGCACCCCGAGCCGGCCUGCGCUCCAGCCCUCCCUCCCUCACACACGCCGAAUCUCAGAACAUGAGGGCUGCUGUGAAAGUACCACGAACCGGGUUGCUUGAAGCAGCAGAACUAUAUUCUCUCACAGUUCUGGACAAACGUGGGAAAUCCAGCUACAGGCAGGGCCUUGCUCCUUCUGAGCCGUUGGGUAGAAACCUUCCUGGCCCAGCCUGGGGUUCCUGCAAUUGGCGUUCUUUGGCUUGCAGCUACAGGAGAAGAGGGCACAGAACAGAGAGGGACACAGCAGCUUGGGAAGGUCUCUCAGAGUGACUUUACAACCAGGUUUCAGGGGACUCCCAUUUGGACUCUGCUUUCUGGAGCCUGUGUUUGUAACAAGCCCCAAGUGACUCUGAUGCAGGGAGACAGUCUCACUUGCAACCCACCCCAUGGCUUCAGAAUAUGGGGGAGGUCUCCCCAAUGCUCCGCAGCCCACACCCAUGCCCUGCCCAGAGUGCACCCCAAGUAUGCAUGUAGAUGAACAACUGGGGGAAGUGUGAGAAUAAUGGAUCCCCACUGGAGGAGCCCAGUCCCAGGGAAAAUGAUUGGGAAUCUGCUGUGAGUACAGUGACAGGUGACAAGGGCCCUCAACAGUGUCAUGAGGGACACUUUUAUUGUUGUGAAGUCCACACACUAACCCCAAGCCUUGUGAAAUAGAGAUGGUUCAUUCGGUUAUCAAAUAUUUGGGUGCCAAAUAUAUGCAAGUCACUAUAUUCAGUGUUUUGGGAUUUGAGAAUUUUGCCAUAGUUCUUUUUUAAGCAAAUUAAAUAAAUUUAGGAAAUUAAUUUAGAAUUGUGCGUUUAAAAUUUUUAUUGUGCCAAUAAAAAUUUGUUUAAAAAAAUUUAAAGACUUUUCUUUAAAAAAAGUGCCGUCACGAAAGAUACUACUUUAUUGUUAUUUUAUUUUUCAUUUGUAUUCAUUUGUUUUUAAAUAGGUUAGUAGUCAAAAGUCUAUUAAAGAGGCUGGGUGUGGUGGCUCAUGCCUGUUAUCACAGCACUUUGGGAGGCCAAGGUGGGUGGAUCACUUGGGGUUAGGGGCUCAAGCCCAGCCUGGCCAACAAGGCGAAACUUCCUCUCUAUUAAGAACACAAAAUUAGUGGGACAUGGUGGCGGGCGCCUGUAGUCCCAGCUACUCAGGAGGCUGAGGCAGGAGAAUGGCUUGAAUCCGGGACGUGGAGGUUGCAGUGAGAUGAAAUUGAGCCACUGCACUCCAGCCUGU
ensembl:lncRNA